rnacentral:rRNA from 1 species
CAGUCGCCGCGGUAAUACGGAGGGUGCAAGCGUUAAUCGGAAUUACUGGGCGUAAAGCGCACGCAGGCGGUCUGUCAAGUCAGAUGUGAAAUCCCCGGGCUUAACCUGGGAACUGCAUUUGAAACUGGCAGGCUAGAGUCUUGUAGAGGGGGGUAGAAUUCCAGGUGUAGCGGUGAAAUGCGUAGAGAUCUGGAGGAAUACCGGUGGCGAAGGCGGCCCCCUGGACAAAGACUGACGCUCAGGUGCGAAAGCGUGGGGAGCAAACAGGAUUAGAUACCCCUGUAGUCCCUGUCUCUUAUAC